rnacentral:lncRNA from 1 species
CACUCCUCUUGUAUUUCAGAAAUGAGUUCCAGUGAUCUCCUAACUUUGCCCAGUCAAUAAAAUCUUGAGUUCGGCCCUUCUUGAUAUAGUUGUCAUCAACGCCGUGCUCGGGCUCAUCAUUGCCAUCAUCAGACAUGUUAAGGAAUAUGUCCACCUGGCUACCCUCAUACUCGGUGUAGGUUCUUGGAACGUUUGAGUCACUACCGCCAGCAAUAAUCUGCUCCAUUAUAUACCUUUCAUCCUCGAAGUCUC